CAAAAAAAAGAGGUCAAUUUGGAAAGUUCAACAUACAUCUUUUGGAUGGCAGAGGGGGGCAACAACCCGUUCCCAAAAACUCCCAACCUCCCUGCCCCAAAUUACACUGCCUCAAUCGAUGGAAUCUCCCCAUGGCUCAAAGACUCAGCAAGUGGGUGGCAGAGAUUCAAGAGAAGGAAAAAAUAAAAAGGCCAAAGAAGACGAGAAGGCUUUCAUAUCUUAUGCAACGGGUGGUGGUGCUGAAAUUUGGAGUGGAGAGGAGAGGUGAGGGAGGUAACCAGAAUGAAAGGUAGACUCGAGGGAGGAGAUGGCUAUGGAUGGUCGAAGUUAAGCACAGGUCCUUCGAUUGCUUUAAUCAAAUAUUCCCGAUCUGCUAUUGAAGCUGUACAGAGUAGUAUCAAAAGAUAAAAGGAAUACAGGGUUGUUUGUUUGCAUUGAAAUGAAAUCAUCGGCAGCAGCGUAAUUGCAGAGAGGGGCAACAACCCAUUCCCAAGAACUCCCAAUCUUCAUGCCCUAAAUUACACUGGCCUCAAUCCAAGGAUCUUCACUACUCCCCCAAGGGAUUAGCAAUUUAGGGUUCAGUCCAGAAAACCCCCUAUGGGGAAAUGAAAUUUGCUGGCACGGCUCUUGGUGGCGUUGAGUUUGGUCCUACUACUUCCUCUAAUCCAAGCUGAGCUUCUUCCAUUUUCUUCUCUCUUGUAGUUUUUCUGAUACUCUGCCUUUUUUAGGUUUAUACAAUAAGAAGAAGAAGAUGCAUAUUGAACUUCCUAAAUUAACCCUUUCUUUUGUCUUGGAAAUUGCGCUGACA
rnacentral:lncRNA from 1 species